GGAAAUCUCCAGUCAAGAAAUCAUCGGUAUUCUGAAAGACAUCCGAUCAAUAUCUUCAGAGUUUGCAACAAUUUAUUUCUCCACUUUUCUCGUUCAGAAAACUCUAUUGCUGAUGAAUUAGAUAAAAGGGCUCUUCAAGCCUUUCUUAUUUUGUAAUGGACAUCAUGAUCAGUUGGGCUGUAACACCCUGACCUGGCCGUCUAGGCCGCGGUCGAAGCCUUACGUCGCUCGGUCCACUUCCUGGCCGAAGCUCUUAAUUUUUCGCCCUUCAUUUAUAAUAUCGCCCUUAGGCGUGGGCAAUUUUAGACCAUAGCUAAAGACUUCUUUAGUCAUUCAUAGCUUAGAUCCUUUCAAAACAUAUAUGAAGCAGAAUAUUCUCUAACUAACCAUUGGACUAAAUCCAAUCUAAUACUUGUCCGGUCUCAUCGACGAUGCCUUGGCCAGUUCACUAACUACCUUUCGGAUUAUAGAUCGAUCCUUUACACGGUCCAAGUCAUACAAAUUCGAGGUUCCAUUUUCCUAAACCAUUCUAUCUAGAUCUAUGCAAGUUAAUGCUAAAUCAUACCUUUG
rnacentral:lncRNA from 1 species